rnacentral:miRNA from 1 species
GAUUGUCUCGUCGAUUCCGAGGA